rnacentral:rRNA from 1 species
UACGUAGGGUGCGAGCGUUAAUCGGAAUUACUGGGCGUAAAGCGUGCGCAGGCGGUUUGUUAAGCCAGAUGUGAAAGCCCCGGGCUCAACCUGGGAACUGCGUUUGGUACUGGCAAGCUAGAGUACGGCAGAGGGGGGUGGAAUUCCACGUGUAGCAGUGAAAUGCGUAGAGAUCGGGAGGAACAUCAGUGGCGAAGGCGGCCAUCUGGGACAACACUGACGCUGAAGCACGAAAGCGUGGGGAGCAAACAGG